GAUUUUUCUGACUGGAUGCUUGGAGAAGAGCCUUCAUUCCCUUGAAAACUUUGCUCAGGACACUGGUGGAGGAAGUUGAUGGCAUGGACCUAAGAGAAAGUGUUGAGUACCUGUAUUGCAGCUCACAUAUCAUCCUUAAGUCCUUAGAGUGAGCUGAGGACCCAGCAAGCACUUGAGAGCAAAGGGCAUGGCAUGUUCACAUCCAAGGCCCGAGAGUAACAGCAAGUGAGAUCUGUAAGGGCAGUGUGAAGGGGUUGGUAAGAGCAGGAGUGUAGAGGGUGCCUGUGAGAUAUGACAAGCCCAUAGUACAUGGUAAGCCCAUAAUCCAUGCGGAUUUUCAUUGGUCCCACUGUAAUCGGGGCAUGAUCUCUGUGCUGUCUUCACAGGGUUGCAUUCCCUUUCCAGUAUGGUCCAUGGAAAACAUGCAGAGGAAAUGGCCCCACAGCAUUGGCUGAGUGUUUAUGUCGUCCAACCGAGUCUCCAUCGAACUGUUGUGGUGUUGCUGACUUGCCCUAGGUCACCUGAGUUAAAAGUAUGGUCCAUGGAAAACAUGCAGAGGAAAUGGCCCCACAGCAUUGGCUGAGUGUUUAUGUCUUCCAACCGAGUCUCCAUUGAACUGUUGUGGUGUUGCUGACUUGCCCUAGGUCACCUGAGUUAAAUGGGUUGCAUUCCCUUUCCAGUAUGGUCCAUGGAAAACAUGCAGAGGAAAUGGCCCCACAGCAUUGGCUGAGUGUUUAUAUCUUCCAACCGAGUCUCCAUCGAACUGUUGUGGUGUUGCUGACUUGGCCUAGGUCACCUGAGUUAAAAGGGUUGCAUUCCCUUUCCAGUAUGGUCCAUGGAAAACAUGCAGAGGAAAUGGCCCCACAGCAUUGGCUGAGUGUUUAUGUCAUCCAACCGAGUCUCCAUCGAACUGUUGUGGUGUUGCUGACUUGCCCUAGGUCACUUGAGUUAAAUGAGAUGCAUUCCUUUUCCUUCAUGGGCCAUGAGUGACAUCCAGAGAAAGUGUCACCACAACACUGGACAAAAGUUGAUGAUAUCUGAAUGAGCUACCAGUAAACCCCCCCCUUUUUUUGCUGUUAUUGCCUUGCCUGAGGAAAAGCGAGUUAAAAGAUGAUACCUACAGUGAUGAGUUGGAGUUAUAGAUGGUGCCAUUUCUUCUACCAGCAGCUUCACCAAAACAAUCUCCAUUAUACAUGCUGAUGCCUCUUUCCUGUGUAGCAGCAGACACCACCUGCAGAUAAGAAAUGCUUAAGCAUAAGAAAUUCAUCAUACUCAUACCAAUCUACACAAGAGUGAGAUCAUGG
rnacentral:lncRNA from 1 species